rnacentral:lncRNA from 1 species
CUGCUGGCUGCCGUGAAGAGCUCGGGGAAUCAGACACAAAUCCUGCUGAAAUGGAUCUGGGGGUGUCUUAAGCCCCAGCACAAUUCCAAGCGUAGGAGCAGCAUCUCGCUGAGUUACCAAGGAAAUGCCAACACCCUGGGAAUCCGUGUGGCAGCGAGACAUCGCGGUGUGACACUCACGGGCCCUUUCGACAGCAGCUGCCGUUGUGCAGUGAAGAAAAUAGCAGCAGCCUUGGCACCCCGCUGCCAUGCCCUGCCUCCCGGCCUCACUGGCUGCUCAGGGAGGCUGCAGAGAUGCAGGGUUAUUUCCAUUUCUUUGAGCAGCUAUCGAAUGAGUCGGGUUUACCGUGCUGGGAAAGACCAUAAAUAAAACUGAG